rnacentral:rRNA from 1 species
UCGCCUGUUUAUCAAAAACAUCGCCUCUUGAAAUAACAACAUAAGAGGUCCUGCCUGCCCAGUGACUGUUUGUUCAACGGCCGCGGUACUUUGACCGUGCGAAGGUAGCGCAAUCACUUGUCUUUUAAAUGGAGACCUGUAUGAAUGGCUAGACGAGGGCUUAACUGUCUCCUUUUUCCAGUCAAUGAAAUUGAUCUUCCCGUGCAGAAGCGGGAAUAACACCAUAAGACGAGAAGACCCUGUGGAGCUUUAGACACUAAGUCAGCCCUUGUCCAAAACCCCUCUCAAGGGGCUGAACGAUAGAGUGAGAUCUGAUCUGAUGUCUUCGGUUGGGGCGACCUCGGGGAAAGAAAAAACCCCCGCGCGGAAUAGGAGUACUACUCCCAGAACUGAGAGCCACCACUCAAAGUACCAGAAAUUUUGACCAACAAUAUGAUCCAGCUUAACGCCGAUCAACGGACUAAGUUACCCCAGGGAUAACAGCGCAAUCCUCUUUUAGAGCCCAUAUCGACAAGAGGGUUUACGACCUCGAUGUUGGAUCAGGACAUCCUAAUGGUGCAGCCGCUAUUAAGGGUUCGUUUGUUCAACGAUUAAAGUCCUACGUGAUCUGAUUCCAGACCGGA